AAAUAUAUAUAAAUAGCACAUUCAUCAAAGUGAAUUUGUACCUGUAUAUGGUAUAUCUUGAUUCCUCUUUUUUCCCAAUCCCUUCCCCUUUAUUCCACUUCCCUCCCCUCCUUAUUUAUGAAAACUUUGUUUCCAUUUUUUCCUUCUUUUCUCAUUUUUUUCUUUUCCCUUCCUUUUUUUCCUGCCCCUCUUUAGUUUCCCUUUCCUUUUGAAUAAUUGCUUCCUAUUUCACAUUAUCUAUUAUACAUUUUGGUCUUUAUUUAUCCUUUCAGUUUCUCACACCAGAGAGACAAUGUGAUAUUUACACUUGUCCGAUUUAUUUCACUUAAGGGUGUGGUCUCAAGGUGCAUCCAUUUAGCUAGAAAUGUCUCAAGUUUGUCUUUCUUUAUGGCUGAGUAGUACUCCAUUGUAUUAAAAAAACACAUCUUUUUUAUCCAUUCAUUCGUUGAUGGGCAUUUGGGUUGUUUCCAAGAUUUAGCUAUUACAAACUGUCACUCUAAACAUGGGUGUGCAUAUAUUGCUGUGGUAUGAUUCUUUUAAUUCUUUCAGGAAGAUCCCCAGCAGGGGAGUGCCUUUGACUUUUGACUGGGUCCUCCAGCUCUCCAGUGCAUAGACAGCCCUUUUGCAUUCUUCCACCCCUGACUCUGCAGGCAGCCAUUGUAAGCCUACCGUGUCAAUAUCUAGUAUCUAUCAUCUAUCUCAUCUAUUUCUCUAGUGAGCCCUAACUGAUAGUUGGCAUCUUUGGUGGGAAUUUGAUUGGGAUUCUGCUGGAUCUAUAGAUCAAGUUAGAGGAAUUGUCAUAAUAACAAAAAUGAUUGUACGCUUGAAUCAGUCAAUGUUUCUAGAGAAACAGAUAUAACACAAGAUCUAAAAAUAUAUAUGGAUUUACAAGAUUGGCUUAUAAGGGCCAACCAUAGAGUUGGAUGUGGAAGAGCGCAGAGGGUCUUUCUGCAUGCUAGAUACCAAAGGAUUCAGUGGAAGGUCUGGAGCUCACUUCAGUGUCCUGUGUGAGUCUCUAUCAGGAGGCCAAUGGGGUCUGUGAUGGAGGUUUGAAGAGUCUAUGCCGGAAGCCUGAAGGAUCUGCACCAGAAGCUGAAGAAUCUGCACAGGAAGCCAGGAAAUGACAUCCAAGGCGACAAGCUGCCCUAGGGCGUGGAAUUGCUGAACCAGUGUAGUUGGGCUGCUCUUACUCAAGUUAACACAGUCAGUCAACCAGUGCACUGCUGCUAAACAAAGGGUAUCUCUGCAUUUAUUUAUGUUUCCUUUGCUUCCUUUUACCCAUGUUUCAGUUUUCUGAAUGCAUAUUUGUAUAUACAGAAUCUGCCGCAAAAUGUCUACAUCGGGAAAAGAAAAAGUCGAAUAAAUAUUUUAAUACUGAGUUUACGGAGAGACCAUGAGGUUCGUGCAAAUUUGCCUCUCCAUUUAUAAGAGGUGCUCAAAGUGGUGGGCAUUGGCAGCGUUUGUGGUUAGAUUCCAGCUCUUCAGGCUCUAGGACGGGAUGUAUUAUACAUGAUGUUUAAACUCCUCAUUUCCAUCCCUCUUUUCCCCACCUCCCUCCUCUCCUUUCCAUUUCUCUUUUGUUUUCUCCCCUGAGGGACAGGUACCGAACCCUGGGCCUUGUGCAUCCCAGUCAAGCCUUCCAUCACUGAGCUGUGCCCCAGCCCAUUUUAAAAGCUGCUGCAGGUCUAUCUUGCAGAAUAGCGAUGUCCAUUCUGGGCACUCAGUAGGUGUAUACGCCACGUUCCGCUCAUUUUCAGUUCCUCUGCUUCCUCUUUCCCCCUUCCCUUGAUUCUCUUUCCUGUCUCCAAGAGUCCACCUUCUUAAAAAUUUUAGCCGGGCGUGCUGCUACUUGCCUGUAAUCCCAGGGCUUGGGAGUCAGAGGCAGGAAGACUGCAGUGAGUUCAAGGUCAGCCUGCGCCUCAAAGUAAGACCCUGUCUCAAAAACCCAAAAAUUAAAAAAUAAUUCCACUCGUUCCUAUAUUGUGGAUCUGUAGGUCAUCAAUUGACUUUUGUCUUCUGGACUUCUACUUUGGUUCUGGUUAUCUCUAUCAUUUAUUUUGUGUUGCUAUAACUGAGGACUUUAGACUAAAGUAAUUAAUAAGUAAAGUAAGCGUUUGUUGUUGUUUUUUUUUUUGGUACGGGGAAUCGAACUUGGUUCCUUGCGCUUGCUUGCGCAGCAGGCGGCGAAACCACUGAGCUAAAUCCCUGGCCCAAGUAAGUGUAUUUUUACAAUUCUGGAUACUAGAAAGUCCAAGGUUGAGGUACUGCCUCUGUUAAGGAUCUACUUGCUAGUAGGGACUGAGCCCUGAAGUGGUGCUCAAUGUAAUUGGUGAGAAAAAUUGUGCCAGAGAAAGCUUGCUUUUAUAACAAAACCACUCCCUUGAUACCUUGUUGAUCCAUUAUUUAUGAAUGUGUUCAUUCUUUUUUUUUGUACUGGGGAUUGAACUCGGGACCUUGCGCUUGCGAGGCAGGAGGUGGAACCACUGAGCUAAAUCUCCAUCCCCGAAAGUAUUCAUUCUUAUUAGCAGAGCCCUUAAAACGAAAUCACCUCCCAAAGUUUCCAUUAGAAUAUGACUUUGGGGGUGAAGUCUGCACCUCAUGAAUUCUAUUUUUGUUUUGUUUUAAGACAGGGUCUUCCUAUGUAGCUCAGGCUGGCCUUGAAGCCUUUGGAAUGCCAGGAUUACAGGCGUGGGCCACCAUACCCAGCUAUACCACUUGAAUUCUGGAGAAUGAACUUUUCAAUCCACAGCACCACCCAUUCAGAUCAGGGCAUGGUGGGCUCUAUUUCAGUUUCCAUGUCCAAAGUUAUGAUAUUUAGGAGUGGGUGCAAUCCUGCUAAACAGUGCCAGGGACUGCCCUGUGUUGAGCCCCAGAGCCUCCUUCUCCAGGGGCCCCAGUGUACUGGCCCCUCAUGGUCAUCAGCAUCCACAGUGAGGACCGAGCCUUCUACUCCUCCUUGGGACUGGCCCUGGAGACACCCUGGCAGCUUCCUGAUGAAGGGGCCCACAAAGGAGGAAAAGGUAGGGAAGUCAGAAUAAAGCCUCCUGUGCUCAAGAGAGCUUCUGGUGUGUUUGUCUCUUUCUUGGGUAAUAGUUUAGCAAAGUUCACUUUACAAUGGCAACCCUUCAUGGAGGUUGUGACCACUCAUCUUUAUAACAUACUGAUUGCAAUUUGUUUCUGGAGGGAAGUCUGGGCACACAAACAGGAGAAAUGCUGGGACAGUCUUGGCGAAAGCUGGGGUGCUGCCAUAUAGUCAUCCUUGAACUGGAGGGCAAAGGGCCAAGUCCAUCCUAUUACUUGGUUUUCUUGAUGUUUUAAUGAUUCAUUUUCCUUACAGUGUUAAAGUAGUAGGGGAAGUUGAAUAGUAGAUGUGUUAAAUUUGGCAACAUUAUCUAAGUCUAAAUGCAUCAUUUAUACUAAAGCCAGAAUUUGUUAAAAAUAUAUUUUGUGGCUUUUAUGGGGGAGGUAAAUUUAUCAGCUACACUUUUUCUUUUGCUACAGUUUAGCAUAAUCUUUCUAAUGAUGCACAAAAUAAUGUCUGGUGUGUAAACAUUGCCAUCCUAGAUAAAAUGUCUUGACUGUAUUAAGAUAUAUUAUAAUAUAAAAUGAAUUUAAGAAAGCCACCUCUUUUUUUCUACAUCUUCAUCAUUUUAUAUAAAAUCAGACUUUGUUAAAAGUCAGGGAACACUCAUAUGUGAUCCCAGUAUUUCUAAGAUCUUUCCAAUGGGCAAGCUCUAAGCAUCUUCCAAGCUUUUUUGUGCCAUUUGGUCUAUUUAUAGUUUCCUUAUUUUUGAUUUCUUUUUGUUAAUAUGUAUUUUUACUGGGAAACCACCCAUUUCCUCUAGGCUCCAUUUUAAUCCAAUAGAUUCAUCAUAUUUGACUGUUAAUUUUAUUUCCCGUUUUAGUUUUCUGUGGAAUUCUUUUUUUUUUUUCAGUACUGGGGUUGGAACUCAAGGGCCUUUUGCACGCUAGGCAUGUACUGUACCACUGAGCUACAGUCACAGCCAGAAUUCAUAAUCCUAAGUACUUCUGCUAUAUUUUAUCAACAGUAUUUAGAAAAAUAUGCUUUUUAGCCUAUCUUGUUUUUGAUUGAGAGAAUUGUCUUGUUUGAAAAGUUCUCAUGAUUGGGACCAGGGAUGUAGCUCAGUGGCACUAUGCCUGCCUGGCAAGCACAAGUUCCUGAGUUUGAACCCUGGUGCCAAAAAAAAAAAAAAAAAGAAAAGAAAGAAAAUUUCUCAUGAUAAUCUUAAAUGAUUUUAAUUAAUUUCUGCUUAAUAAAACAUCUUUGAAUUGGUGGUGUGGCUCAGUAGUAGAGAGCUUCCCUAGCAGGCACGAGGCCCUGAGUUCCAUCCCAACACCACAAAAAAUGUCUUUGGCAGGAAAUUGUUUUUAAAGAUUAUAUACUUAUAUACACAAACAUUACAGGAUUUACAUGAGAAACCACUGCGGAAC
rnacentral:lncRNA from 1 species